AACAUGUUUGCAGUUCCUGCAAAGUGCUUGGUUUUGCCUUUGUUCCUGCAGCAGGAAGCCUUGCCUUUUUUUCUCAGGCUAUUUAAAACUUGUCUGUGAUGACAUGAUUAGAAAGGUGCAGGUUCUUUACUGCUCUGUGUAGAAAAAAAUCACUGACUUUUUUUUUGCAUUUUUCAGUUUUCACCUGUCUUUACUAACCUACAUGGAAGAUGCUGCUUAAAUUAUGGCCUACCUUCCCUUUCUAGCCUUACCCAUGUGUUUCUGGAAACAUCUUUACACCCAUGCUAACAGCCAUGAGGCUGGACCAUGAGCUGUGUCAAGGAGCUGACCCCAGCAAGAAUCUAUCAAAACCAGCAAAAUAAAUAAAUAAUAAUAAUAAAAUAAAAAUUUUUGAAGCUGCAGCCUGAAGAGCUACAGGCUUAUAUCUCUCAACUUACUGGAUCCAGCCACAAACCAGAUGUUCUGGAGGGGGCUUUCUGGCUGGAUGAGUUCCUAAGGAUGGUUCAGAGUCAGCCACCUGUGCUCCAGGAACCCUUGGUAACAAACUAUAGAGGAAAGAUGUAUAUACUAAAUGACAAGGAGAUGAAUGCUGAAGUUUCCAUGUGCAUUCAAGUGUUUGGUGUUUCUACUCUUCUUCCAUUUGAGAAGACCAUAUAUAUGAUAUUGCUGCCAUUAUAAUGACAUUCUUCAACAAGGAAGAUGCGUCUUUUUAUGGGCAUUGGCACCAUUUACAGGAUCCACAUUUAUGCAAGUCUGUUCUGUAUUUCAUUUAAAUAAAGCCUCCAUAAAAGCUUUGAU
ensembl:lncRNA